rnacentral:rRNA from 1 species
GGAUGAACGCUAGCUACAGGCUUAACACAUGCAAGUCGAGGGGCAGCAUGGUCUUAGCUUGCUAAGGCCGAUGGCGACCGGCGCACGGGUGAGUAACACGUAUCCAACCUGCCGUCUACUCUUGGACAGCCUUCUGAAAGGAAGAUUAAUACAAGAUGGCAUCAUGAGUCCGCAUGUUCACAUGAUUAAAGGUAUUCCGGUAGACGAUGGGGAUGCGUUCCAUUAGAUAGUAGGCGGGGUAACGGCCCACCUAGUCUUCGAUGGAUAGGGGUUCUGAGAGGAAGGUCCCCCACAUUGGAACUGAGACACGGUCCAAACUCCUACGGGAGGCAGCAGUGAGGAAUAUUGGUCAAUGGGCGAGAGCCUGAACCAGCCAAGUAGCGUGAAGGAUGACUGCCCUAUGGGUUGUAAACUUCUUUUAUAAAGGAAUAAAGUCGGGUAUGGAUACCCGUUUGCAUGUACUUUAUGAAUAAGGAUCGGCUAACUCCGUGCCAGCAGCCGCGGUAAUACGGAGGAUCCGAGCGUUAUCCGGAUUUAUUGGGUUUAAAGGGAGCGUAGAUGGAUGUUUAAGUCAGUUGUGAAAGUUUGCGGCUCAACCGUAAAAUUGCAGUUGAUACUGGAUAUCUUGAGUGCAGUUGAGGCAGGCGGAAUUCGUGGUGUAGCGGUGAAAUGCUUAGAUAUCACGAAGAACUCCGAUUGCGAAGGCAGCCUGCUAAGCUGCAACUGACAUUGAGGCUCGAAAGUGUGGGUAUCAAACAGGAUUAGAUACCCUGGUAGUCCACACGGUAAACGAUGAAUACUCGCUGUUUGCGAUAUACAGCAAGCGGUCAAGCGAAAGCGUUAAGUAUUCCCACCUGGGGAGUACGCCGGCAACGGUGAAACUCAAAGGAAUUGACGGGGGCCCGCACAAGCGGAGGAACAUGUGGUUUAAUUCGAUGAUACGCGAGGAACCUUACCCGGGCUUAAAUUGCAGAUGAAUUACGGUGAAAGCCGUAAGCCGCAAGGCAUCUGUGAAGGUGCUGCAUGGUUGUCGUCAGCUCGUGCCGUGAGGUGUCGGCUUAAGUGCCAUAACGAGCGCAACCCUUGUUGUCAGUUACUAACAGGUUCCGCUGAGGACUCUGACAAGACUGCCAUCGUAAGAUGUGAGGAAGGUGGGGAUGAUGUCAAAUCAGCAUGGCCCUUACGUCCGGGGCUACACACGUGUUACAAUGGGGGGUACAGAGGUCCGAUACCACGCGAGUGGAUGCCAAUCCCCAAAACCUCUCUCAGUUCGGACUGGAGUCUGCAACCCGACUCCACGAAGCUGGAUUCGAUAGUAAUCGCGCAUCAGCCACGGCGCGGUGAAUACGUUCCCGGGCCUGGUACACACCCCCUGUCAAGCCAUGGGAGCCGGGGGUACCUGAAGUGCGUAACCGCGAGGAGCGCCCUAGGGUAAAACU